AGACCCGAAACCCGGUGAUCUAGCCAUGGGCAGGUUGAAGGUUGGGUAACACUAACUGGAGGACCGAACCGACUAAUGUUGAAAAAUUAGCGGAUGACCUGUGGCUGGGGGUGAAAGGCCAAUCAAACCGGGAGAUAGCUGGUUCUCCCCGAAAGCUAUUUAGGUAGCGCCUCGUGAAUUCAUCUCCGGGGGUAGAGCACUGUUUCGGCUAGGGGGCCAUCCCGGCUUACCAACCCGAUGCAAACUGCGAAUACCGGAGAAUGCUAUCACGGGAGACACACGGCGGGUGCUAACGUCCGUCGUGAAGAGGGAAACAACCCAGACCGCCAGCUAAGGUCCCAAAGUCAUGGUUAAGUGGGAAACGAUGUGGGAAGGCCCAGACAGCCAGGAUGUUGGCUUAGAAGCAGCCAUCAUUUAAAGAAAGCGUAAUAGCUCACUGGUCGAGUCGGCCUGCGCGGAAGAUGUAACGGGGCUAAACCAUGCACCGAAGCUGCGGCAGCGACACUGUGUGUUGUUGGGUAGGGGAGCGUUCUGUAAGCCUGUGAAGGUGUGUCGUGAGGC
rnacentral:rRNA from 1 species